rnacentral:rRNA from 1 species
GACGAACGCUGGCGGCGUGCCUAACACAUGCAAGUCGAACGGAAAGGCCCUGCUUUUGUGGGGUGCUCGAGUGGCGAACGGGUGAGUAACACGUGAGUAACCUGCCCUUGACCUUGGGAUAACUUCAGGACACUGGGGCUAAUACCGGAUAGGAGCUCCUGCUGCAUGGUGGGCGUUGGAAGGUUUCGCUGGUUGGGAUGGGACCGGCGGCCUAUAGGUUGGUUGGGGGGGUAUUGGGUUACCAAGCCCUUACGGGGUGCCCGGCCUGAAAGGGUCACCGGACAAAUUGGGACUGGGGUAAGGCCCAGACUCCUACGGGAGGCAGCAGUGGAGAAUAUUGCACAAGGGGCGGAGGCCAAAUGCAACAACGCCGAGUGGGGGAUGACAGCCUUCGGGUUGGAACCCGCUUUCGCCUGUCACGAAGCGAUAGUGACGGUAAUGGGUAAAGAAGCACCGGCUAACUACGUG